UGGGGAAUCUUGCGCAAUGGGCGAAAGCCUGACGCAGCAACGCCGCGUGUGUGAUGAAGGCCUUCGGGUUGUAAAGCACUGUCAGGAGGGAAGAAAACUCAGUGGCUAAUACCCAUUGAGGAUGACGGUACCUCCGAAGGAAGCACCGGCUAACUCCGUGCCAGCAGCCGCGGCAAUACGGAGGGUGCGAGCGUUGUUCGGAAUCAUUGGGCGUAAAGCGCGUGUAGGCGGGCUGGCAAGUCAGGUGUGAAAUCCCGAGGCUCAACCUCGGAAUUGCGCCUGAAACUGCUGGUCUUGAGUACGGGAGGGGGCAGCGGAAUUCUUGGUGUAGGGGUGAAAUCCGUAGAUAUCAGGAGGAACACCGAUGGCGAAGGCAGCUGCCUGGACCAGUACUGACGCUGAGACGCGAAAGCGUGGGGAGCAAACAGG
rnacentral:rRNA from 1 species